rnacentral:pre_miRNA from 9 species
UCUCGAUAGCGUAAAUGUUAACUCAAAUUUUUGUGGAGUUGUAAUGUUUGCAUAUGUUUGCCGCUAGGGGCGCUGUUGCAACUGCAUACUUUGAGCUAACUUUUACGCUAUCGA